GGGACCUGGCGGCGUGCCUAUACAUGCAAGUCGAACGAACUCUGGUAUUGAUUGGUGCUUGCAUCAUGAUUUACAUUUGAGUGAGUGGCGAACUGGUGAGUAACACGUGGGAAACCUGCCCAGAAGCGGGGGAUAACACCUGGAAACAGAUGCUAAUACCGCAUAACAACUUGGACCGCAUGGUCCGAGUUUGAAAGAUGGCUUCGGCUAUCACUUUUGGAUGGUCCCGCGGCGUAUUAGCUAGAUGGUGAGGUAACGGCUCACCAUGGCAAUGAUACGUAGCCGACCUGAGAGGGUAAUCGGCCACAUUGGGACUGAGACACGGCCCAAACUCCUACGGGAGGCAGCAGUAGGGAAUCUUCCACAAUGGACGAAAGUCUGAUGGAGCAACGCCGCGUGAGUGAAGAAGGGUUUCGGCUCGUAAAACUCUGUUGUUAAAGAAGAACAUAUCUGAGAGUAACUGUUCAGGUAUUGACGGUAUUUAACCAGAAAGCCACGGCUAACUACGUGCCAGCAGCCGCGGUAAUACGUAGGUGGCAAGCGUUGUCCGGAUUUAUUGGGCGUAAAGCGAGCGCAGGCGGUUUUUUAAGUCUGAUGUGAAAGCCUUCGGCUCAACCGAAGAAGUGCAUCGGAAACUGGGAAACUUGAGUGCAGAAGAGGACAGUGGAACUCCAUGUGUAGCGGUGAAAUGCGUAGAUAUAUGGAAGAACACCAGUGGCGAAGGCGGCUGUCUGGUCUGUAACUGACGCUGAGGCUCGAAAGUAUGGGUAGCAAACAGGAUUAGAUACCCUGGUAGUCCAUACCGUAAACGAUGAAUGCUAAGUGUUGGAGGGUUUCCGCCCUUCAGUGCUGCAGCUAACGCAUUAAGCAUUCCGCCUGGGGAGUACGGCCGCAAGGCUGAAACUCAAAGGAAUUGACGGGGGCCCGCACAAGCGGUGGAGCAUGUGGUUUAAUUCGAAGCUACGCGAAGAACCUUACCAGGUCUUGACAUACUAUGCAAAUCUAGAGAUUAGACGUUCCCUUUCGGGGACAUGGAUACAGGUGGUGCAUGAUGUCGUCAGCUCGUGUCGUGAGAUGUGGGUAGUCCCGCACGAGCGCACCCUUAUUUAUCAGUUGCCAGCAUUAAGUUGGGACU
rnacentral:rRNA from 1 species